AAGUUCAGCAGUUGAGAACUUGUGACCAACCAUCCAAUAGAAUGUUGGGGUACUGUGAGGGUGGGGGUGAGGGAGAUUUUAAGCUUUCAGGGUACUUUUUGUUGUUCAUUAAUAUUUUCUGUUUUUGUUAUUAGUACUGGCCUUGUAUUACUUACCCAUACCAUUUGGUGAUAUUUUUAAUGGACCAUGGACCAGACAAGUGAAUCAACAUCCCAAGAGGAAUCCAAACCUGCUCAGGAAAAUGGAAAAGAAGCCAAAGAAAAACAGGACUCAACUGAAGUGGAAGAGCCUAUUGAGAAUUAAAUUUAGAGGAACAGCUGAAAACUUCAAAAGGUUUGACAAUGAACUUGAACACUGAAGUCCCAGGGAAUAUGAUAAUUAGAAAACCUGCAAGAGUAACUUUUAAUUUAGAUGAAAUUAAACUGAAACCAAAGCUAGAACAACCAUGGAAGAAAAAUCUUUUUUUAAGAAUGGAGGCAAGAGCCCAGGCAAUGCAGCAGAAAAUAAUAGAUAAGGAUAAUCUGAAGAAAGAAUUAGACAAAAAGUCUGAAAAAAAACUGCCUAGAGAUAAUUUGGCUAAAGAGUGGUUUAAUACUGAAAACACAGCACUGAGUACUCGUGCAUAUUUGCUUGACAAACUUCUACCCACCUUAGUUCCUGGAAUGGAAAAAAUGUUGACAAAACGAGAAAAGAAGCUUUUGACCAAAGCUGAUAGUCCAACCAAGUUUGAUCCAGUUAAUCAUUUGGGAGAAUGUUUAAUGAGAAAUAAUCCUAAUUAUAUCAAAGACCCAGGAAUGUCUGAAUACCAGAGGGUGAUGAGAGAUGUCACAGAAGAACUGAAGAUAUAUGUUCCUGACACUAUUUGCAACAGUACCGGGGAUCAAAAUCAGGACCUUGCGCUUGCCAGGCAGAUGAAGCGCCACUGAGCUACAUCCCCAGCCCCACCCCACCCCCUUUUAGUAUCUUUUUAAAAGUAUGUUUUCUUUCUGAUUCUAAUUCCUCCAGUACUUGGGAAUGCAUAUUUGAAAAAUGCUUAUCACCUGAUGGUGAACUGAUAAUGAAGAAUAUUUGCUCUUAAAAUAAGAUUUAAAACUUUGUAUAGCCUGAUUAUUAUAACAUUCAUAUAUGUGUUAAAUUUUGUAAAACUAGAAGUCAGAAAUGUCAGUUUUACUGCAUAAUUUC
rnacentral:lncRNA from 1 species